UGGGGAAUCUUCCGCAAUGGGCGAAAGCCUGACGGAGCAACGCCGCGUGAGUGAUGAAGGCCUUCGGGCUGUAAAACUCUGUUGUCAGGGACGAAGGUGCACCUUUCCAACAGAUGGGUGUAUUGACGGUACCUGACGAGGAAGCCACGGCUAACUACGUGCCAGCAGCCGCGGUAAUACGUAGGUGGCAAGCGUUGUCCGGAAUUAUUGGGCGUAAAGAGCAUGUAGGCGGGCCUUUAAGUCCGACGUGAAAAUGCGGGGCUCAACCCCGUAUGGCGUUGGAUACUGGAGGUCUUGAGUGCAGGAGAGGAAAGGGGAAUUCCCAGUGUAGCGGUGAAAUGCGUAGAUAUUGGGAGGAACACCAGUGGCGAAGGCGCCUUUCUGGACUGUGUCUGACGCUCAGAUGCGAAAGCUAGGGUAGCAAACGGGAUUAGAUACCCCGGUAGUCCUAGCCGUAAACGAUGGGUACUAGGUGUGGGAGGUAUCGACCCCUUCCGUGCCGGAGUUAACGCAAUAAGUACCCCGCCUGGGGACUACGAUCGCAAGAUUG
rnacentral:rRNA from 1 species